rnacentral:rRNA from 1 species
GUGGGGAAUAUUGGGCAAUGGGGGAAACCCUGACCCAGCGACGCCGCGUGAGGGAAGAAGGCCUUAGGGUCGUAAACCUCUGUUGUGUGGGAAGAAGAGCGUGACGGUACCACACGAGGAAGUCCCGGCUAACUACGUGCCAGCAGCCGCGGUAAUACGUAGGGGACGAGCGUUAUCCGGAUUUACUGGGCGUAAAGGGCGCGUAGGCGGUCAUUUAAGUCAGCUGUGAAAUGGUUUGGCUUAACCGGAUCAUGCGGUUGAAACUGGAUGACUGGAGUGCUGGAGAGGCAAGUGGAAUUCCCAGUGUAGCGGUGAAAUGCGUAGAUAUUGGGAAGAACACCGGUGGCGAAGGCGACUUGCUGGCCAGCAACUGACGCUGAGGCGCGAAAGCCAGGGGAGCAAACGGGAUUAGAAACCCGGGUAGUCC